UGCGUAGACGGUUUCGUAAGUCGGGUGUGAAAUCCCCGGGCUCAACCUGGGAAUUGCAUUCGAAACUGCGAGGCUAGGGUACGGAAGAGGGAAGCGGAAUUUCUGGUGUAGCGGUGAAAUGCGUAGAUAUCAGAAGGAACAUCAGUGGCGAAAGCGGCUUCCUGGUCCAGUACCGACGUUCAGGCACGAAAGCGUGGGGAGGCAAAACA
rnacentral:rRNA from 1 species